rnacentral:sRNA from 1 species
GCAUCCUUGGCAGUAGGCAAGCUCAAGAUCGCGUACAGGGAACGCGCGGGCUUCCUCCGCGGACCCCAGCAGAAUGCA